rnacentral:tRNA from 1 species
ACUUGUAUAAUAUAACAUAUUAUAUUUGACUUCCAAUCAAACUAUCUCUAACGAGUUCAAGUA